rnacentral:rRNA from 1 species
AAACCAACUGGGAUUACCUUAGUAACGGCGAGUGAAGCGGUAAAAGCUCAAAUUUGAAAUCUGGUACUUUCAGUGCCCGAGUUGUAAUUUGUAGAAUUUGUCUUUGAUUAGGUCCUUGUCUAUGUUCCUUGGAACAGGACGUCAUAGAGGGUGAGAAUCCCGUUUGGCGAGGAUACCUUUUCUCUGUAAGACUUUUUCGAAGAGUCGAGUUGUUUGGGAAUGCAGCUCAAAGUGGGUGGUAAAUUCCAUCUAAAGCUAAAUAUUGGCGAGAGACCGAUAGCGAACAAGUACAGUGAUGGAAAGAUGAAAAGAACUUUGAAAAGAGAGUGAAAAAGUACGUGAAAUUGUUGAAAGGGAAGGGCAUUUGAUCAGACAUGGUGUUUUUUAAAUGUGCAAGUCUCUCGUGGACAUGUGCCUCUGGAAAUUAACACUGGGCCAACAUCAGUUCUGGCGGCAGGAUAAAUCAUUAAGAAUGUAGCUACCUCGGUAGUGUUAUAGCUUUUUGGAAUACUGCCAGCUGGGUA